AGAGUUUGAUCCUGGCUCAGGACGAACGCUGGCGGCAUGCCUAACACAUGCAAGUCGAACGGAGAUUAUUUCGAUAAUCUUAGUGGCGAACGGGUGAGUAACGCGUGGGCAACCUGCCCUCUAGAUGGGGACAACAUCCCGAAAGGGGUGCUAAUACCGAAUGUGACAGCAAUCUCGCAUGAGGAUGCUGUGAAAGGUGGCCUCUAUUUAUAAGCUAUCGCUAGAGGAUGGGCCUGCGUCUGAUUAGCUAGUUGGUGGGUAACGCUACAAGGCGAUGAUCAGUAGCCGGUCUGAGAGGAUGAACGGCCACAUUGGGACUGAGACACGGCCCAGACUCCUACGGGAGGCA
rnacentral:rRNA from 1 species